CGUCCUCUCUCUUUUCGUCUUCCUAACCAUCUUCAGUUGUCAAGAUCUCUACAAUUGUUUUAGGUUCUAACACUCUAUUGAUCCAGUUGAGUUCUUUGUUGAAUAUAUUUAAGGAUUUUGGAGUUCUUUGUGCAAUGAUUGGGUGCUUUGAAGAAUCAUGUAAAAAUCUAGGUAGGAAAGCUUUUAGUAAUGGUAUUCUUUAUGUGGG
rnacentral:lncRNA from 1 species